CCUACGGGAGGCUGCAGUGGGGAAUAUUGGACAAUGGGCGAAAGCCUGAUCCAGCCAUGCCGCGUGUGUGAAGAAGGCCUUCGGGUUGUAAAGCACUUUCAGUGGGGAAGAAAGCCUUGGGGCUAAUACCCUCGAGGAAGGACAUCACCCACAGAAGAAGCACCGGCUAACUCCGUGCCAGCAGCCGCGGUAAUACGGAGGGUGCGAGCGUUAAUCGGAAUUACUGGGCGUAAAGCGCGCGUAGGCGGUCUGAUAAGCCGGUUGUGAAAGCCCCGGGCUCAACCUGGGAACGGCAUCCGGAACUGGCAGGCUAGAGUGCAGGAGAGGAAGGUAGAAUUCCCGGUGUAGCAGUGAAAUGCGUAGAGAUCGGGAGGAAUACCAGUGGCGAAGGCGGCCUUCUGGACUGACACUGACGCUGAGGUGCGAAAGCGUGGGUAGCAAACAGGAUUAGAUACCCUGGUAGUC
rnacentral:rRNA from 1 species